rnacentral:rRNA from 1 species
GACGAACGCUGGCGGCGCGCUUAACACAUGCAAGUCGAACGGAAAGGCCUGCUUUCCCUUGUGGAUUGCGGGUACUCGAGUGGCGAACGGGUGAGUAACACGUGAGUGAUCUGCCCCCAACUUGGGUAUAAGCCUGGGAAACUGGGUCUAAUUCCCGAUAGGACUGCAGGGUGGUGCCUGUGGUGGAAAACGAUUUUCUAGUGGUUGGGGAUGGGCUCGCGGCCUAUCAGCUUGUUGGUGGGGUAAUGGCCUACCAAGGCGGCGACGGGUAGCCGGCCUGAGAGGGUGGACGGCCACAUUGGGACUGAGAUACGGCCCAGACUCCUACGGGAGGCAGCAGUGGGGAAUAUUGCACAAUGGGCGGAAGCCUGAGGCAGCGACGCCGCGUGGGGGAUGACGGCCUUCGGGUUGUAAACUCCUUUCGACCGCGAGGAAGCCACCUGGUUGGAAGGGUGGUGACGGUAGUGGUAGAAGAAGCACCGGCUAACUACGUG